UACGGAGGGUGCAAGCGUUGUCCGGAUUUAUUGGGUUUAAAGGGUGCGUAGGCGGUUUAUUAAGUCAGGGGUGAAAGACGGCAGCUUAACUGUCGCAGUGCCUUUGAUACUGAUGAACUUGAAUGUACUAGAAGUAGGCGGAAUGUGACAAGUAGCGGUGAAAUGCAUAGAUAUGUCACAGAACACCGAUUGCGAAGGCAGCUUACUAUGGUAUUAUUGACGCUGAGGCACGAAAGCGUGGGGAUCAAACAGG
rnacentral:rRNA from 1 species